AGUGUAUUGGCACAUAAAAUAUUACCUUCUCUACUCUUCCUUCUUCACUUAUCCCGCUUCUUUCUCCAAACACCGUCGGAGAUGACUCAUCGCGACCUCUGUAACUCAGCUCACCGGAGACACAAGCACCCCCACCCUUGGUUGGACACCCACAACCACUUCGGCUACAGAAGUUCAAAUUGCUAAUGCUGUAUGCAUUGGAUGUUGGACAACCAAAUGUUGAGGAAACAAAUGAGGAUUCAGACUUGUACUUAGAGCCAUCCAUCACCUAUAUAUAGAAUUAGAAACUAUACCCAUCUGAAAAUGAUUGCUUAUUUAUUUAAAAGAUCCUAAAUAUUGCAUGGAAAAUGCCUUCAACACUUAUUUCGUACGCUUGCAAAUUGAGACAUCAGGGAAGGGAAAUGCCACAUGGUGGUGAUCUUUGGUGGAUUGAAAUAUUAGAAACAAGUGGUCAACAUAAAGAGGGUGUUGGUGCUUACUUUUGUAUCUCAGACGAGGUCAACAACUUGAAAUUGUUGGAUGACAUGGCAGAAUUGAGUUCAGCCUACUGUGUUCCACAACUAUAUAAAAGAGUAUAUGAUGGAUGGGUGUUAUGAACGCGGUGAAGAGGCAAAAAGCAUUUUUUAAAGGUGCAUCACCUUCCCCUUGUCUCCAGAUGUCAUGGAUUGUAAGUUAUUUUUAGGGCUAAAUGCAAUAUAUAACAACUUGCUUUCAUUCAUUUGUGUUUUAUUUCAGCAUGCUAGUUUCAUUUCUUUCUAUUACAACAUUCUACUUUCAACUUUUUCAUAUGAAGACACUGUACUUUGAAAAAUAUACUACUUUUAGCUAUUUUAUUAUUAGGACAUUAUACUUUUAUAGAUGUUUAUAGCAUUGUACUUUCAUCUUUCUUUUUAUCAGGGCAUUCUGCUCUAAAAAAUUAUACCCAAUCAUAUCAUUUUCUUAAUAUUGUGACAUUUAAGUAUCGUCCUUCCAUUUAUUUCUGUUGUUUCACCAUUGUAAUUUCAACUUAUUAUUAUUAUUAUUAUAAAGGUGUUGCAUUAUAAAGUUCUAUGCAUUUAUAGCGUUGUACUUGUAAUAUUUCUUGUUAGGACAUCAUACUUUCAAUCCAAUCAUAGCAAUGGAAAUUGCUUUGCUUUGUGUUUUGAUGGCAUUGGUAUAAUUCAGUGGAU